rnacentral:rRNA from 1 species
AUGGGCUACCAAUGGAAAGUGGGGAAUGGUAGGAAAACUAAAUUUUGGGAAGACCACUGGUUUGGGUCCUGUAGCUUAUCCAUUCAAUUUUGGGAGUUGUAUAGUAUUGCCAAUGAGCAUAAUAAAACUAUUGCUAAGGUUUGGGAUGGAACAAAUCUUAAGAUUUCUUUCAGAUGA